GAUGAACGCUGGCGGCGUGCCUAAUACAUGCAAGUCGAGCGAACAGACGAGGAGCUUGCUCCUCUGACGUUAGCGGCGGACGGGUGAGUAACACGUGGAUAACCUACCUAUAAGACUGGGAUAACUUCGGGAAACCGGAGCUAAUACCGGAUAAUAUAUUGAACCGCAUGGUUCAAUAGUGAAAGACGGUUUUGCUGUCACUUAUAGAUGGAUCCGCGCCGCAUUAGCUAGUUGGUAAGGUAACGGCUUACCAAGGCAACGAUGAGUAGCCGACCUGAGAGGGUGAUCGGCCACACUGGAACUGAGACACGGUCCAGACUCCUACGGGAGGCAGCAGUAGGGAAUCUUCCGCAAUGGGCGAAAGCCUGACGGAGCAACGCCGCGUGAGUGAUAAAGGUCUUCGGAUCGUAAAACUCUGUUAUUAGGGAAGAACAAAUGUGUAAGUAACUAUGCACGUCUUGACGGUACCUAAUCAGAAAGCCACGGCUAACUACGUG
rnacentral:rRNA from 1 species